GACGAACGCUGGCGGCGUGCCUAAUACAUGCAAGUCGAACGCACUGGGGACGGGUGAGGAACACGUGGGUAACCUCCCAUCAGAGGGGAUAACACUUGGAAAAAGGUGCUAAACCUGAAACUGAUGGAUGGACCUGCGGUGCAUGAGCUAGUGGGUGGGGUAACGGCCCACCAAGGCCACGAUGCAUAGCCGGCCUGAGAGGGUGAUCAGCCACACUGGGACUGAGACACGGCCCAGACUCCUACGGGAGGCAGCAGUAGGGAAUCUUCGGCAAUGGACGAAAGUCUGACCGAGCAACGCCGCGUGAGUGAAGAAGGUUUUCGGAUCGUAAAACUCUGUUGUUAGAGAAGCGGUAUCUAACCAGAAAGCCACGGCUAACUACGUGCCAGCCGCCGCGGUAAUUC
rnacentral:rRNA from 1 species